UCCGGCUUAACGCCGGCAGUCUCCCUAGAGUGCCCAACUUAAUGGUGGCAACUAAGGACGAGGGUUGCGCUCGUUGCGGGACUUAACCCAACACCUCACGGCACGAGCUGACGACAGCCAUGCACCACCUGUGAAGGUGUCCCGAAGGAAAGCCAUGUCUCCAUGGCGGUCACCUACAUGUCAAGCCCAGGUAAGGUUCUUCGCGUUGCGUCGAAUUAAGCCACAUGCUCCGCCGCUUGUGCAGGCCCCCGUCAAUUUCUUUGAGUUUUAACCUUGCGGCCGUACUCCCCAGGCGGAUGACUUAACGCGUUAGCUGCGCCACCGAAACGCUAAGCGCCCCGACAGCUAGUCAUCAUCGUUUACGGCGUGGACUAC
rnacentral:misc_RNA from 1 species